CGGCAAUGGAGGAAACUCUGACCGAGCAACGCCGCGUGAACGAUGAAGUAUUUCGGUACGUAAAGUUCUUUUAUUAGGGAAGAAUAAAUGAUGGAAAAAUCAUUCUGACGGUACCUAAUGAAUAAGCCCCGGCUAACUAUGUGCCAGCAGCCGCGGUAAUACAUAGGGGGCAAGCGUUAUCCGGAAUUAUUGGGCGUAAAGGGUGCGUAGGCGGUUAAAUAAGUUUAUGGUCUAAGUGCAAUGCUUAACAUUGUGAUGCUAUAAAAACUGUUUAACUAGAGUAAGAUAGAGGCAAGUGGAAUUCCAUGUGUAGUGGUAAAAUGCGUAAAUAUAUGGAGGAACACCAGUAGCGAAGGCGGCUUGCUGGGUCUUUACUGACGCUGAGGCACGAAAGCGUGGGGAGCAAACAGGAUUAGAUACCCUGGUAGUCCACGCCGUAAACGAUGAGUACUAAAUGUUGGGUAAAACCAGUGUUGAAGUUAACACAUUAAGUACUCCGCCUGAGUAGUACGUACGCAAGUAUGAAACUUAAAGGAAUUGACGGGACUCCGCACAAGCGGUGGAUCAUGUUGUUUAAUUCGAAGGUACCCGAAAAACCUCACCAGGUCUUGACAUGCUUCUGCAAAGCUGUAGAAACACAGUGGAGGUUAUCAGUUGCACAGGUGGUGCAUGGUUGUCGUCAGCUCGUGUCGUGAGAUGUUGGGUUAAGUCCCGCAACGAGCGCAACCCUUAUUGUUAGUUGCCAGCACGUAAUGGUGGGGACUUUAGCAAGACUGCCAGUGAUAAAUUGGAGGAAGGUGGGGACGACGUCAAAUCAUCAUGCCCCUUAUGACCUGGACUACAAACGUGAUACAAUGGCUGUUACAAAGGGUAGCUGAA
rnacentral:rRNA from 1 species